rnacentral:rRNA from 1 species
GUCUUUUUGUUAUGUAAAUAUAGAAAGUCAGACCUGCCCGGUGAAUAUUUAUUUAAACGGCCGCGGUAUUUUGACCGUGCAAAGGUAGCAUAAUCAGUUGUCUUAUAAUUGAAGACUGGAAUGAAUGGUUAAACGAAAUUAGAGCUGUUUCAUUUGUAUUUAUUAGAAAUUGGCUUUUAAAUGAAGAGAUUUAAAUUUGAUUGAGGGACAAGAAGACCCUAUUGAGCUUUAAAUAAUUUUAAGGGUUAAAGUUAUUGUAAAGAUCUAUGAUCUUUAGUAUUUUUUAGUUGGGGCGACUAAGGAACAGGUGAAGCUUCCUUUAUUUGUUUGAUUGAUAGAUUUUGAUCCUGUAUUACUGAUUAAGAGAAAUAGUUACCAUAGGGAUAACAGCAUAAUCUUCUUGGAGAGUUCUUAUUAAAAAGGGGGGUUGUGACCUCGAUGUUGGACUAAAAUAUCCUAAGGGUGCAGAAGCUUUUAAGGGUUGGUCUGUUCGACCAUUAAAAUUUUACA